rnacentral:rRNA from 1 species
GAUGAACGCUGGCGGCGUGCCUAAUACAUGCAAGUCGAGCGAACAGACGAGGAGCUUGCUCCUCUGACGUUAGCGGCGGACGGGUGAGUAACACGUGGAUAACCUAUCUAUAAGACUGGGAUAACUUCGGGAAACCGGAGCUAAUACCGGAUAACAUGUUGAACCGCAUGGUUCAACAGUGAAAGACGGUCUUGCUGUCACUUAUAGAUGGAUCCGCGCCGCAUUAGCUAGUUGGUAAGGUAACGGCCUACCAAGGCAACGAUGCGUAGCCGACCUGAGAGGGUGAUCGGCCACACUGGAACUGAGACACGGUCCAGACUCCUACGGGAGGCAGCAGUAGGGAAUCUUCCGCAAUGGGCGAAAGCCUGACGGAGCAACGCCGCGUGAGUGAAGAAGGUCUUCGGAUCGUAAAGCUCUGUUAUUAGGGAAGAACGAAUGUGAAAGUAACUAUGCACGUCUUGACGGUACCUAAUCAGAAAGCCACGGCUAACUACGUG